rnacentral:rRNA from 1 species
UGGGGAAUAUUGCGCAAUGGGCGAAAGCCUGACGCAGCGACGCCGCGUGAGGGAUGAAGGUCUUCGGAUCGUAAACCUCUGUCAGCAGGGAAGAAAGUUAUGCGUGCUAAUCAGCGUGUAAUUGACGGUAUCUAACCAGAAAGCCACGGCUAACUACGUGCCAGCAGCCGCGGUAAUACGUAGGUGGCAAGCGUUGUCCGGAUUUAUUGGGCGUAAAGCGAGCGCAGGCGGUCUUUUAAGUCUGAUGUGAAAGCCCCCGGCUUAACCGGGGAGGGUCAUUGGAAACUGGGAGACUUGAGUGCAGAAGAGGAAAGCGGAAUUCCAUGUGUAGCGGUGAAAUUGCGUAGAUAUAUGGAGGAACACCAGUGGCGAAGGCGGCUUUCUGGUCUGUAACUGACGCUGAGGCUCGAAAGCGUGGGGAGCAAAGCAGGAUUAGAUACCC